CCGCCUGGGGAGUACGGCCGCAAGGUUAAAACUCAAAUGAAUUGACGGGGGCCCGCACAAGCGGUGGAGCAUGUGGUUUAAUUCGAUGCAACGCGAAGAACCUUACCUGGUCUUGACAUCCACAGAAUUCUGCAGAGAUGCGGAAGUGCCUUCGGGAACUGUGAGACAGGUGCUGCAUGGCUGUCGUCAGCUCGUGUUGUGAAAUGUUGGGUUAAGUCCCGCAACGAGCGCAACCCUUAUCCUUUGUUGCCAGCG
rnacentral:rRNA from 1 species